CACGGAUUCGUCUUCAAGCAAAAAUAUAUGAGCUACACACAGCUACAUUUUAUGACUGAUAAUAGCAGAUGUGUGGGCGUGUACAUGUUCAUAUAUAAUUUCAGCUGUUUCUCUGACAUUUUGUGCAAACAAAUCAAACGCUCACCAAAACUAGUUGAAAGUUUUAUUUUUAUAAAAUUAACAUAAAAGAUUGUUUAAAAAUCUGCAGUUAUUUACAGCAGUAUUGCACAAGUAAAGUGGCAAUUACCCUGUCAAAAUUCAUCAGUGCAAAACACAAGUAAGCCAGGGAAACUGCAAUACAAAUGCUACAUACGCUGGGUCCUAGAAAACAGGUUAGUGAUGGAUCAGUAUACAGCCAGAUCAGUGCUAUUUAUAAGUGGGUACCUGAUGAGUUCUGAUACAGUAACUAGUGGUCACAGAAUCUGGACAUCUUGACACCCAGUCCAGUGGGGCCCCAACCUCCCCUGAAGGAGAUGGAGUAUCAGAAGGAGGGCAUCGACCUGAAGAAGCAGGCUGACCAAAUGCAGUGACCGUAUGGGUGGGGCGUGGGGAGGGCUGUACAGUUAAUUAGCUCCUGAAGACAAGUUAGUCCAACCUCAAAGCACAGGAAGUUGCACAGCAGGUGGGGGAAAACCCAGCUACUCACAGUUGUCCACAAGGGGUUAGUGGCCUGAGGUGGUCCUUAGGCAGGAGCCACCUGUCCCACCCAUUCACUUGUCCUGCCUGGCCCUAGCCCUGAACAACUGCAAUGCAGCACCUCUGGAAGUGGCACAUUUUAUUUCUUUUCUAAACGCUGAGUUGUCAGGGAUAAAUUUUCAAUAGAAAAAUCUUUCCCACCUGCUGAUAAUACUUUGGUUUUUUUGUUUUCCUAAAGAUAAAGCCUGGAGUCAGCAAAAUUUGCUUGCAUGAUAAGCUAGUUGCUUUGGAACAAACAGAAGGUUGCUGGGUAUUUCUUGGAGUAGAAUUUUGUAGCCUGCCAGACUGAGUUUCUCACUGGCAUCAAACACACACUUCAUCAUAAGGGCGGCAAAGCCCAAGAAUUGAAACCCACUUGACUGGAAAUACCAGGACCCGAAGGUGGAGAGCCACCCUGGAGGACCACGUGGUCUGCAAUGAGCUCUCCAGUCACCCCCGACAACUCUCAGGAGUUAACUUCAUGGGACGGCAGGGGAGUGGGAGACAGGGAUGUUAAUACUUUUCAGAAAUUAAGACAUUAAAUAAGCAGAAAAUAAAUAUACAAUAUUUCUACAAGUUACAGCAUUAUGAAACAGUAGGACACAUCACACAGAAAAAGAAUCUACAAUAUUUACAAUCCUUGAUUUUGAAAAAGUUGAGAAAAACAGUGAUUUUUUUACUUAUUUAUGCUGUACAAAAUUUUACAAGGUAAAGGA
rnacentral:lncRNA from 1 species